rnacentral:snRNA from 1 species
AUGCUCGCUUUGGCAACACACAUACUAAAAUUGGAACGAUACAGAGAAGAUUGGCAUGGCGCAAGGAUUACACAAAUUCAUGAAGCAUUCCAUAUUUUU